rnacentral:rRNA from 1 species
AUUGAACGCUGGCGGCAUGCCUUACACAUGCAAGUCGAACGGUAACAGGUCUUCGGAUGCUGACGAGUGGCGGACGGGUGAGUAAUACAUCGGAACGUGCCCGAUCGUGGGGGAUAACGAGGCGAAAGCUUUGCUAAUACCGCAUACGAUCUACGGAUGAAAGCGGGGGAUCUUCGGACCUCGCGCGGACGGAGCGGCCGAUGGCAGAUUAGGUAGUUGGUGGGAUAAAAGUUUACCAAGCCGACGAUCUGUAGCUGGUCUGAGAGGAUGAUCAGCCACACUGGGACUGAGACACGGCCCAGACUCCUACGGGAGGCAGCAGUGGGGAAUUUUGGACAAUGGGCGAAAGCCUGAUCCAGCCAUGCCGCGUGCAGGAUGAAGGCCUUUGGGUUGUAAACUGCUUUUGUACGGAACGAAAAGCCUCUUUCUAAUAAAGAGGGGUCAUGACGGUACCGGAAGAAUAAGCACCGGCUAACUACGUG